rnacentral:lncRNA from 1 species
AAUCAGUUAACAAUUCGUUUAUAUGCACGAUAAUUUUAUGGAUAUUACAAAAGCUUCAUGAAACAGACUGCUUUAAAAUAAAGAUCCUAAGAUAUCAAGAAAAUACAUGACGAAAGAAUGAAGAAAAGAGUUAGUUCAUUAGUUGCUUUGCCAAUUUUCAUCACCCUCUCUAUUCUAGUGGUUCAAGCCUUUGAUGUGAGAGAAACACACACUCAAAUUAACUUCUAAAAGCAAUCUUUAUGGCUACAAUACCCUCUAUUAACAUGUGGCAGCUGAGAAGGGCAACACAUUAACUUUUACUUUGCAAACAGAAUUUGUAAAAAUCUAGUAACCCUCUUUAACUGGAAUAACAUGGCAUAGAUUAACAGGAAAAAGUCGAAUCACUUUGUAAAAGCAGGCAAAAAAUCUCACAUUCUUUUCUGUCAUCUCCUCUUCAUCCUUGUCAUAUGCAUCUUCUUCAUCCUCAUCUUCCUCGAUAACAUCUUUCAUAUUUUCAGCUUGAAUCUCUUUGAGCAGCCUCGCUAGUAAACCAUGGCAUGACAUGAGAAGUUAUUUUAUCCCGAAUUGUUGAGCUACAAAAGAAAGAACAAAAUAUAACACAAUAUCACUCUUCUAAUCCAAACAGCAGCGCGCACCUUAUGACCCAUAAAACAAAAUUGAACUUGUUAGGCCACAUAUAAAAGUAAAAGUGAAUUAAUACUAAAGAACUCCUCCAAAAAGGAAGAAAUCAGCAACACACCCAAUAUACUAAUUUUUGUUUGAUUACAGAGCUCUUCAAUUUGACACAUUUAUCACAUCAAACAAAAAUAUUUUAAUGUAUUUAGGAAAAAGAAUAAAUUCAAAAUUGUGGAACCUACAGUGUCAUCAUCAUAGUCAGCAUUUUUAGGUACUUAUGGCGGUUCGAAAAUUUUGAAAAACGUUCACAGCUCUCACUCUUAAUUAUGCGUUAAGCAUUUCUGACCCUUCGUUGGAUCCUAUUUAAGGAUAUUCUACGUCAAGUUUUUUCCUACCGUUCCAUAGUGGCCCUACAAUACAACCUACAUCAAACAAUCAAAGAUAGAUACAAAGACAACCACACUUUAUCACCAACAAAAAUUUGCCCAAAGAGGUAAUCUGUGUUUGUUUCAAGAGGUAAGUAUUUGAGUUUGUAAGAGAAUUAUAAAUUUUGGACUUCUUUCUCGAUACAAAUCACUCAAUGAUUUUAGUGAAUAUUUCCAUUCUAUUCAAGUACAGUAAAGUUUGAAUUUUAUGGAAUGUUAUAUGUUCCUGAUAUUUAUGAUGCUUCAUCUAUGUUGGAAUAUUCUGUAUAGCAUUUUAUAUUGCACCACUUCCUAAAGAGAGAACCUUCAACUUUCAAACUGCAAGGCCUGAUGUAAGUGUUGUGUUGCAUCUAGUUAUAAAUUCCACUAAAGUACAUACCCGAGCUCCUGAAAUUGAGUUUCAGCAAGCCCCCUUCUUGUUUUGUUCCUGACCCAUUAGCUGAAUAAUCCAGUUUGACGCUUUGUUGUAGUGUUGUUGUGCUGCCCGAUAUGUUCUGAAAUACCAAUUCGUACAAUAACUUGUCAGGCCUUGUAUUUAUAAUAAUUUGUCCUAAUUCAAUUAAAUGUUGAUCCAAAGAGAUAUCUAUGUAAAUUCAAAAGGAUCUCAUUGUUUAAUAGUAUAAUAGAUAUGAAUCUUUUUCUUCUCAUGAGAAGUGUAGAGCACUUUAUAAAAAUAGAGUUUACCAACAUCUUCUUGACAUGGUGCUGAUCAGAACUCUUCUUUUCAAGGCACUUCAAGCAAAGAAGUGGCUUACCUCAUUUAAAAGGAGCAUUUCUGCUAGCACCCUUGAACAAAUAUUUUGUUGUAACAAUUCUGCAAUGAUGCCACAAGGGAAAAAUUAAAAUAACUUAAAACCAAAACAUGACAAAUUGUGUUGCAGCCAUAGGAAGGAAUCACAUAUCAAAGAGACAGCGGGUGCCCAACGAUGUUAGUCUUUUGGUUUCUUUAUUUCCUAAAUAGAUUCUGUAUUUCGCUUUAUUCAUGUGUACCAAUUUCACCGUUAAUAGGCACUUCAAAGAAUCCAUUCAUCCUCAAAAAUACCGAAAAACAUGUACCUAAGUAUCUAUCUCUAAACAUAGCAACGAUUGAAAUGCAUGCACAGAUUUUUAGAUACUCAACUAAAUUCAGAACGGGAAAACGGAAUAAAACUCACCAAAAAUCAGAAAUCAUAGAGUCACCAACAUACUGGAAUCAAGAUAGGAAAUUGUUUCCACGAACCCAGAAGCUAAGACCAAAAAUAGGAGAAAGAAGGAAAUAACAUAUUAGGGAUUAAGAAAAAUUAGACGAAAAGGGAGAGAAAGCAGUGUAAGGGGCUGUUGGGGGGAAAAAACAAACCCAAAUUAGCAUCCAUUAGAAUUAAAGGUGGAGCUGGCACUCAAAUUUCACAUUGUUUGGAGAUGGAAACCCAGAGCUUCACAUAGAUGUAUUCUUUUAGCCUCCAUUUGUUGUUUGGCAGGAAGAGUUCUCGAAGAAAUGGGCAUGGAACCUGAAGCUAAGUGGAGAAAGUGGAAGCCAGUUAUUUUUUAACUUACCCAAAUGACGGUUUUACCCUUCGUUCCAGUUCGGCUGUCCCUGAUAUUGUUUGCGUCCUCGGGCAAAGUUGGUCCUUCCUCGGCAAUUCUUUGAGGUAUCCUUGUCGAAGCAUAUUUACUACCUCCUAUCUUAGGGCGAAGCCGUCCUCGA